AUCCUUUUGUAGUUCAUAAGCAUGAUGGAUUAUUGGGUGUUCACUCCAUUGUGUGACAUGUGCCACGCUUAAACUUUGUUAAGAUGCCAGCACAUUACCUGUCUGACA
ensembl:snoRNA